GCAUCAGUAGCUCAGUAUC
rnacentral:tRNA from 1 species